CACGGCUAACUACGUGCCAGCAGCCGCGGUAAUACGUAGGUGGCAAGCGUUGUCCGGAAUUAUUGGGCGUAAAGCGCGCGCAGGUGGUUCUUUAAGUCUGAUGUGAAAGCCCACGGCUCAACCGUGGAGGGUCAUUGGAAACUGGGGAACUUGAGUGCAGAAGAGGAAAGUGGAAUUCCAAGUGUAGCGGUGAAAUGCGUAGAGAUUUGGAGGAACACCAGUGGCGAAGGCGACUUUCUGGUCUGUAACUGACACUGAGGCGCGAAAGCGUGGGGAGCGAACAGGAUUAGAUACCCU
rnacentral:rRNA from 1 species